rnacentral:lncRNA from 1 species
CUCCUGGAUGGUGAGCGAUGCAAGUUCCAGGCAUGCCUUUCUUCGCUGGUGUCACUGAUCUGCAGGGCACUGUCCAACAUUAAUGCUGACCAGGAAUGUGGUCAAGUCUUCCAGCCUAGAGCAGGUACGUUAGACACUCCUCAGUUCCCCAAGUC